GACGAACGCUGGCGGCGUGCUUAACACAUGCAAGUCGAACGGAAAGGCCCUGCUUUUGUGGGGUGCUCGAGUGGCGAACGGGUGAGUAACACGUGAGUAACCUGCCCUUGACUUUGGGAUAACUUCAGGAAACUGGGGCUAAUACCGGAAAGGAGCUCCUGCUGCAUGGUGGGGGUUGGAAAGUUUCGGCGGUUGGGGAUGGACUCGCGGCUUAUCAGCUUGUUGGUGGGGUAGUGGCUUACCAAGGCUUUGACGGGUAGCCGGCCUGAGAGGGUGACCGGCCACAUUGGGACUGAGAUACGGCCCAGACGCCUACGGGAGGCAGCAGUGGGGAAUAUUGCACAAUGGGCGGAAGCCUGAUGCAGCAACGCCGCGUGCGGGAUGACGGCCUUCGGGUUGUAAACCGCUUUCGCCUGUGACGAAGCGUGAGUGACGGUAAUGGGUAAAGAAGCACCGGCUAACUACGUG
rnacentral:rRNA from 1 species